GGAGAGGUGCGAGAGUGGUUGAAUCGGGCGGUCUCGAAAACCGUUAUGGGAGCAAUUCUAUCGAGGGUUCGAAUCCCUCCCUCUCCUCCA
rnacentral:tRNA from 1 species